UCUUGCGCAUCACCAAAUACUGUAGCCUUAUCUUUGACAGCCUGGCAUUGCAAGUUGCCUCAGGAAAUAACCAUAUACAUACUUUGAGAAAAUGGGGGUAUUUGGAAAAAACUCAAGUCAAUGUUUUUGUUGUUGAGGAUGAUGAUUUUUGGUCAAUGGAUAAGUCCCACGCGUCUUAUUCAAAUAUAUUAUGUGUAAAUUCUAAUAGUGCUCAGUACGUCAUGAUGAGCCUCCACCUAGCCUCUAACCCCAGUCAUCUCACGCUAACAAUCAUCUUUGUCAAGGCACAAGAGCAGUCUACGGCUAUCCAUCCGGGAACUUAAACGUAAUUGAAAUGAUCAUCUGGUAUAUUUUUGGAUAUAGAUAAGUGUAACCUGUAACAGCAAAAUGAAUCUACGUGGAUUUCGAGCUUCGAUGAGUUUUAUUUUCUGCUUGAAUAUUAUUCCAGCCUGUUGGAGUGCUCAUGGGAAGUAUGCCCAGAAGCUGCUGAAUGAUUGGUUUACUAACCACCAGUGCCCUGAGACCUGUAGAGGAAACAGAAAACAUCCUCAAUGUGAUCCUGCAGAUCACCCUCUCACAGAUCAUUGACAUGGACCUGAGCCCUAGGACCAUGCCCCAGGACUACCUGACAUGAUGACUCCUUGCUGUCCCCAGUCCACCUGGCCGUGCUGCUGCUCCAGUUUCAACUGACCUGAGCCCUAGGACCAUGCCCCAGGACUACUUGACAUGAUGACUCCUUGCUGUCCCCAGUCCACCUGGCCGUGCUGCUGCUCCAGUUUCAACUGUUCUGCCUUAUUAUUAUUCGACCAUGCUGGUCAUUUAUGAACAUUUGAACAUCUUGGCCAUGUUCUGUUAUAAUCUCUACCCGGCACAGCCAGAAGAGGACUGGCCACCCCACAUAGCCUGGUUCCUCUCUAGGUUUCUUCCUAGGUUUUGGCUUUUCUAGGGAGUUUUUCCUAGCCACCGUGCUUCUACACCUGCAUUGCUUGCUGUUUGGGGUUUUAGGCUGGGUUUCUGUACAGCACUUUGAGAUAUAAGCUGAUGUACGAAGGGCUAUAUAAAUAAAUUUGAUUUGAUUUGAUUUAGACCCAAACUGCUGCAGACCUAUAUCUAUUCUACCUUGCUAAGGUCUUCGAAAGCCAAGUUAACAAACAGAUUACUGACCAUUUCAAAUCCCACGUACCUUCUCCAGCUGGUCAUGGGUGCACCUCAGCCACACUCAAGGUCCUAAACGGUAUCAUAACUACCAUCGAUAAGAGACAUUACUGUGCAGCCGUAUUCAUCGACCUGGCUAAGGCUUUCGACUCUGUCAAUCACAACAUUCUUAUUGGCAGGCUCAACAGCCUUGAUUUCUCAAAUGAUUGCCUCGCCUAGUUCACCAACUACUUCUCUGAUAGAGUUCAGUGUGUCAAAUCGGAGCGCUUGUUGUCCGGACCUCUCGCGGUCUCUAUGGGGGUGCCAUAGGGUUCAAUUCUCGGGCAGACUCUUUUCUCUGUAUACAUCAAUGAUGUCGCUCUUGCUGCUGGGGAUUCUUUGAUCCACCUCUACGCAGAUGACACCAUUCUGUAUACCUCUGGCCCUUCUUUGGAUACUGUGUUAACUAACCUCCAGACGAGCUUCAAUGCCAUACAACUAAAAAAAAAAGCAUUCCUCUUGAAGCUGGUUGAGAGAAUGCCAAGAGUGCACAAAGCUGUCAUCAAGGCAAAGGGUGGCUAUUUCGAAGAAUUUAAAAUAUAUUUUGAUUUGUUUAACACUUUUUUGGUUACUACAUGAUUCCAUACAUGUUAUUUCAUAGUUUUGAUGUCUUCACUAUUAUUCUACAAUGUAGAAUAUAGUAAAAUUAAUGAUGCUGGCCUUUUAGGCAGAUUUGCAAAUAGAAAGCCAUAUCUCAGACUGGCCAAUAACAAGAAGAUUAUGAUGGGCAAAAGAACACAGACACUGGACAGAGGAACUCUGCCUCGAAGGCCAGUAUUGCGGAGUCGCCUCUUCACUGUUGACAAUGAGACUGGUAUUUUGUGGGUACUAUUUAAUGAAGCUGCCAGUUGAGGAUUUGUGAGGCUUUUGUUUCUCAAACUAGACACUCUAAUGUACUUGUCCUCAUGUUCAGUUGUGCACCGGGGCCUCCCACUACUCUUUCUAUUCUGGUUAGAGCAAGUUUGCGCUGUUCUGUGAAGGGAGUAGUACACAGCAUUGUACGAGAUUUUCAGUUUCUUGGCAAUCUCUCGCAUGGAAUAGCUUUCAUUUCUCAGAACAAGAAUAGACUGACGAGUUUCAGAAGAAAAUUCUUUGAUUCCGGCCAUUUUGAGCCUGUAAUCGAACCCACAAAUGCUGAUGCUUCAGAUACUCAACUAGUCUAAAGAAGGACAGUUUUGUUGCUUCUUUAAUCAGCAAAACAGUUUUCAGCUGUGCUAACAUAAACGCAAAAGGGUUUUCUAAUGAUCAAUUAGCCUUUUAAAAUGAUAAACUUGGAUUAGCUAGCACAACGUGCCAUUGAAACACAGGAGUGAUAGUUGCUGACAAUGGGCAUCUGCACGCCUAUGUAGAUAUCCAUUUAAAAAAUCAGCCAUUUCCAGCUACAGUAGUCAUUUACAACAUUAACAAUGUCUAUACUGUAUUUCUGAUCAAUUUGAUGUUAUUUUAAUUUUAUUUAAAAAAAUGUGCAUUUCUUCCAAAAACAAGGACAUUUCUUAUUGACCCCAAACUUUUGAACGGUUGUGUAUAUUAUUUGAUUUUUUUGUACAUUUCAGAAUACAUUGUAAUAUAUAAUAAUAUUUUUACUUGGGCUAUCAAAUAAUGGUCAUAUAGAUACAAAAGGCACCAGUGAUCCAGGGCCUUUUCCUCUGACACAGUUCCUGCAGUCCUUCUGGUAAUCCCUCUCACAGAAGCAGAGCCAGGCAAAUGAUGUUCAUGUCUGUCUGUUUACCAAAAACAUCACAAGAGGGACAGAGAGUGAGCUCCAAAAGUUAGGGAAAAUUACACAUUUUUUUAUGUUUUGGCUCUGUACUUUGGAUUUGAAACGAUGACUCUGAUGUUAAAGUGCAGACCGUCAGCUUUAUUUUGAGGGUAUUUUCAUCCACACCAGGUGAACCGUUUAGAAAUUACAGCACUUUUUCUACAUUUCAAGGGACCAAAAGUAUUGGGUUAAAUUCACUUAUAUGUGUAUUAAAGUAGUCAAAAGUUAAGUAUUUGGUCCAAUAUUCAUAGCAUGUAAAAUGACAUCCAUCUUGUGACUCUACUAAUUUGUUGGAUGUAUUUGCUGUUUGCUUUGGUUCUCAGAUGUGUCUCAGAUGUUAUUGUGCCCAAUAGAAAUUAAUGGAAAAUAAUGUAUUGUGCAAUUUUGGAGUAACUUUUAUUGCAAAUAGAAAUAUAAUAUGUUUCUAGAUACAUUAAUGUGGAUGAUUAUGGAUAAUCCUGAAUGAAUCGUGAAUAAUGAUGAGUGAGAAAGUUACAGAUGCACAAACAUCAUACCCCCCCCCCCAAAAAAAGCAUGUCUGUACGUAACUAUUUAUAUUUUUGACAACUUUUAGUGCACUCGACUCCUAAAGGAAAUUAUAUACUUUUUACACCAUACAUUUUCACUGACACCCAAAAGUAUUACAUUUUGAAUGCUGGGCAGGACAGGAAAAUGGUCCAAUUCACACACGUGUCAAGAGAACAUCCCUGCUGCCUCUGAUCUGGCGGACUCUCUAAACACAAAUAUUUUUUUUGUAAAUUAUGUCUGAGAGUUGGAGUGUGCCCCAAUCAGCAAAUGAAAACAAACUAGAAAAUGGUGGCGUCUGGUUUGCUUAAUAUAAGGAAUUUAACUUUUGAUACUUAAAUAUAUUUUUUGCAAUUACAUUUACUUCUGAUACUUAAGUACAUUUAACCAAGUACGUUUAGACUUUUACUCAAGUGGUAUUUUACUGGUUGACUUUCACCUUUACUUGAGAAAUGUGGAUGCAACUUAUUAUGUGACCUGUUAAGCUCAUGUUUACUUGUGAACUUAUUUAGGCUUGCCAUAGCAAAGGGCUUGAAUAUUAUUUUUAUUCAUAUGUAAAGAUUUCUAAAAACAUAUUUCCAGUUUGACAUUAUGGGGUAUUGUGUGUAGGCUAGUGACACCAAAUCUCAAAUGAAUCUAUUUUAAAUUCAGGCUUUAACACAACAAAAUGUGGAAAAAGUCAAGUGGCGUGAGUACUUCCUGAAGGCCCUGUAUAUUAAA